rnacentral:rRNA from 1 species
AGGAUAAACGCUGGCGGCGUGCCUAACACAUGCAAGUCGAACGUCUCUUUCUUCGGGAAGAGGAGUGGCGGACGGGUGAGGAACACGUGGGAACCUGCCCUUUAGUGAGGAAUACCGGCGAGAAAUCGCCGACAAGACCGCAUAGCCCUCUUUGAUGAGAGUCAAAGAAGGAAAGCUUCGCAAGAGGCGCUAGAGGAGGGGCCUGCGUCCGAUUAGCUAGUUGGUGGGGUAAGAGCCUACCAAGGCGUCGAUCGGUAGCUGGUCUGAGAGGACGAUCAGCCACACUGGGAUUGAGAACGGCCCAGACUCCUACGGGGGGCAGCAGUGAGGAAUUUUCGGCAAUGGGGGAAACCCUGACCGAGCAACGCCGCGUGCAGGAAGACGGCCUUCGGGUUGUAAACUGCUUUUCUUUGGGAAGAGAACGGACGGUACCAGAGGAAUCAGCCCGGCUCACUACGUGCCAGCAGCCGC